rnacentral:misc_RNA from 1 species
CAACCCUCAAGCUCUGCUUGGUCUUGGGCAUCACCGGUCCCGGUGCGCCCUAAAAUCAGUGGCGGUGCCGUCUGGCUCUAAGCGUAGUAACUCUCUCGCUAUAGACGCCUGGCGGAUGCUGGCCAGCAACCCCCCAUUCUAUCAA